UGAAUACGAGAUGCUACGGCGUCGAAGCAGUCUAUGUCAUACUUCCAAGAAAAGCUUGCACUGUCAUAAACAAAUAAUGCCUGUACCAUAACCGACACAGGUGGGUAGGUAGAGUAUACUAAGGGGCGCGAGAUAACUCUCUCUAAGGAACUCGGCAAAAUGACUCCGUAACUUCGGGAGAAGGAGUGCCUUAUUUAUAUAAGGUUGCAAUAACAAGAUCCAAGCAACUGUUUACCAAAAACACGGGUCUCCGCUAAGUCGUAAGACGAUGUAUGGGGGCUGACGCCUGCCCAGUGCCAGAAGGUUAAAGAAGUUGGUUAGCAUCCGCGAAGCUGAUAACUGAAGCCCUGGUGAACGGCGGCCGUAACAAUAACGGUCCUAAGGUAGCGAAAUUCCUUGUCGGGUAAGUUCCGACCCGCACGAAAGGCGUAAUGAUUUGGAUACUGUCUCGGAGAGGGGCUCGGUGAAAUAGACUUGUCUGUGAAGAUGCGGACUACCUGCACCUGGACAGAAAGACCCUAUGAAGCUUUACUGUAACUUGAAAUUGAAAUUGGACUUUAUUUGCGCAGUAUAGGUGGGAGGCGUUGAAAAUAAUCUUGCGGGAUUAUUGGAGCCAUCAGUGAGAUACCACUCUUGUAAUGUUAGAUUUCUAACUUUGUAUCAUUAUCAGGUCAAAGAACAGUUUCAGGCGGGCAGUUUGACUGGGGCGGUCGCCUCCCAAACGGUAACGGAGGCGCACAAAGGUUUCCUCUGAACGGGUAGAAAUCGUAUCUAGAGUGUAAAGGCAUAAGGAAGCUUGACUGUGAGACCUACAAGUCGAGCAGGGACGAAAGUCGGUCUUAGUGAUCUGACGGUGCUGAGUGGAAAGGCCGUCACUCAACGGAUAAAAGUUACUCUAGGAUAACAGGCUGAUCUCCCCCAAGAGUUCACAUCGACGGGGAGGUUUGGCACCUCGAUGUCGGCUCAUCGCAUCCUGGGGCGGUAGUACGUCCCAAGGGUUGGGCUGUUCGCCCAUGAAAGCGGUACGCGAGCUGGGUUCAGAACGUCGUGAGACAGUUCGGUCCAUAUCCGGUGUAGGCGUUAGAAUAUUGAGAGGAGCCUUCUCUAGUACGAGAGGACCGAGAAGGACAUACCUCUGGUGUACCAGUUAUCGUGCCAACGGUAAACGCUGGGUAGCUAUGUAUGGAGUGGAUAACCGCUGAAAGCAUCUAAGUGGGAAGCCCACCUCAAGAUAAG
rnacentral:rRNA from 1 species